AAACACUAGAACCCACCACGAAAUAAAAAUGCAUGCGCACACAUCAAUUCUAUGUACGAACAGAUAAGAAUGCAGACAUUUGGGAGUCUAAUUCUAGGGUUUAUAAAAUGGACCUUGCAUCAUGAGAUUUGGGGAGCUUGUAAUAACCGGCGUGGUGGCCCAAAUCAUCGACGGUGACACCUCCGUUGCCUAUCAAAUUAGGAAACCUGAACCUUUUCUCAACAAUCCUCGGUCCCUCCUCCGCCGGCGCAUCACGAGCGUCGAUGACGUUGACGUCCUUGGGGAAGAGGUUGAGGUCCCUGAUGAGCUUAUCGGCAUGCACAGAGGGGAAGCUCGACCUCCCA
rnacentral:lncRNA from 1 species